CUCACCCUGCAGCUCUGGGACAGGAGCCCCAGCCCUGGCAUUCCCAGCUGUCCCCAUUCGGUGAUCAGCACUGAACACAGACACUCACCAUGGGGUCUGGGCUCAGCUGGCUUUUCCUUGUUGCUCUGUUACAAGGUGUCCAGUGUGAGGUGCAGCUGGUGGAGUCUGGGGGAGGCUUGGUCCAGCCUGGGGGGUCCCUGAGACUCUCCUGUGUAGCCUCUGGAUUCACCUUCAGCAGCUCUGACUUGAGCUGGGUCCGCCAGGCUCCAGGGAAGGGGCUGGAGUGGGUGUCAACUAUUUAUAAUGAUGGUAACACAUACUACGCAGACGCCGUGAAGGGCCGAUUCACCAUCUCCAGAGACAACGCCAAGAACACGCUGUCUCUGCAAAUGAACAAUCUGAGAGCCGAUGACACGGCCCUGUACUACUGUGCCAGUGACACAGUGAGGGGACAUCAGUGUGAGCCCAGACACAAACCUCCUGCGGGGUCAGCGCUGGGCCACCAGGGGGCGCCGAAGACCCAAGGAGCAGAAAAAUGGAGGGUGUGA